GCAAGUAGAACGGUAACAGGAGUAGCUUGCUACUCGCUGACGAGUUGUGAACGGGUGCGUAACGCGUAUGCAACCUACCCUUAACAGGGGGAUAGCCUUCCGAAAGGAAGAAUAAUAUCCCAUAAUAUAAUUGAUUGGCAUCGAUUGAUUAUUAAAGCUCCGGCGGUUAAGGAUGGGCAUGCGUGUCAUUAGCUAGUUGGUGAGGUAACGGCUCACCAAGGCAACGAUGACUAGGGGUUCUGAGAGGAUUAUC
rnacentral:rRNA from 1 species